rnacentral:rRNA from 1 species
GGACACGUGGUAUCCUGUCUGAAUAUGGGGGGACCAUCCUCCAAGGCUAAAUACUCCUGACUGACCGAUAGUGAACCAGUACCGUGAGGGAAAGGCGAAAAGAACCCCGGCGAGGGGAGUGAAAAAGAACCUGAAACCGUGUACGUACAAGCAGUGGGAGCACAGGUUUACCUGUGUGACUGCGUACCUUUUGUAUAAUGGGUCAGCGACUUAUAUUCUGUAGCAAGGUUAACCGMAUAGGGGAGCCGGAGGGAAACCGAGUCUUAAUUGGGCGUUAAGUUGCAGGGUAUAGACCCGAAACCCGGUGAUCUAGCCAUGGGCAGGUUGAAGGUUGGGUAACACUAACUGGAGGACCGAACCGACUAAUGUUGAAAAAUUAGCGGAUGACCUGUGGCUGGGGGUGAAAGGCCAAUCAAACCGGGAGAUAGCUGGUUCUCCCCGAAAGCUAUUUAGGUAGCGCCUCGUGAAUUCAUCUCCGGGGGUAGAGCACUGUUUCGGCCAGGGGGYCAUCCCGRCUUACCAACCCGAUGCAAACUGCGAAUACCG